rnacentral:rRNA from 1 species
AGGGGGGCUGCUCCUAGUACGAGAGGACCGGGCUCCUAGUACGAGAGGACCGGAGUGGACGCAUCACUGGUGUUCGGGUUGUCAUGCCAAUGGCACUGCCCGGUAGCUAAAUGCGGAAGAGAUAAGUGCUGAAAGCAUCUAAGCACGAAACUUGCCCCGAGAUGAGUUCUCCCUGAGACCUUGAGUCUCCUGAAGGAACGUUAAAGACUAUGACGUUGAUAGGUCGGGUGUGUAAGCGCAGCGAUGCGUUGAGCUAACCGAUACUAAUGAACCGUGAGGCUUAACCUU